GACGAACGCUGGCGGCGUGCUUAACACAUGCAAGUCGAACGGAAAGGCCCUGCUUUUGUGGGGUGCUCGAGUGGCGAACGGGUGAGUAACACGUGAGUAACCUGCCCUUGACUUUGGGAUAACUUCAGGAAACUGGGGCUAAUACCGGAUAGGAGCUCCUGCUGCAUGGUGGGGGUUGGAAUGUUUCGGCGGUUGGGGAUGGACUCGCGGCUUAUCAGCUUGUUGGUGGGGUAGUGGCUUACCAAGGCUUUGACGGGUAGCCGGCCUGAGAGGGUGACCGGCCACAUUGGGACUGAGAUACGGCCCAGACUCCUACGGGAGGCAGCAGUGGGGAAUAUUGCACAAUGGGCGGAAGCCUGAUGCAGCAACGCCGCGUGCGGGAUGACGGCCUUCGGGUUGGAAACCGCUUUCGCCUGUGACGAAGCGUGAGUGACGGUAAUGGGUAAAGAAGCACCGGCUAACUACGU
rnacentral:rRNA from 1 species